rnacentral:lncRNA from 1 species
ACCUAACCCGGCCCAAUACUACUUCUUAAUCUCCCUCAAACAACAACCUUCAACAAGAGUAAGAACAUAUCUCUAAAUCGCUCAACAUAGCAACACGACCAACUCUAAAUACCCGAUCCCAUCGGCUUCAACAACAGCAGCAAAAACCCGAUUUCAUCAGGCCAAUCCAUCUAUUUUUCUUCACACGCAUCUCACGCAUCCGUAGGACAAGAAAAGGAUUCGAAAAUCUUCUAGAAGCGAUGAGGUGUCCUGCCCAACGUCCAUAUUCCUUAAAGCUUGGGAUGAAGGUACAUAUUUGGAUAAUUUUGAUUGGCCUGAGGGAGAUUAUUCCAUUUCCCUAUUUUUUAUUGCCCCUCUUCCAAAAUCCGUUGGAGGAAAAUCCAAAAUUAGGGGAUUUAAGGAUGAAUACGGAAGCUGUAGAGGGAUUUUUUUUGAAUUUCAAAUUCAUAAAAAUCUAUUUUUAGAAUUCCAAAAAACCCCUAAUCCGGUCUUAUAUAUAAGGACCCAUUACUUAACUGUUUUAGGGAGAGAAAACUAUAGGGGGAGAUUCUAGAGUUGGAAAUUCUUUGGAAAACUUCUAGGGUUAGGAAUUUUAGUGCAAAAAGAUUUUCUGAGAGCUAGUUAGGUCGGAGAAGAGAGAGUGGAAAAUUUUCUUUCUGUGAAAGUAAAGGAAAAACAGAGAAAAGAGGGAUUGAGAGAAGAGGGAACUGCUCCUUAGCAAAAAACUCUAGAGAAAGCGAUGUGCCAGUCGAGAUUUUUGUAAAAGACAUCGAGUUUUUGGUGGUAGUUAAAAUUCCUUCGAAGCCUCGAGUCUCGUUUUGCUGCUCCGAAAUAGGUAAUUCUCAGUCCCCUUUAGUUUUCAGUUAUUUCUACUUCAUCUCGUCAUUCUGUAGACAUAGUGUUGUUCACGAUAAUCUUGUAUGCUGGAGUAGCUGUAGAGGCCUUGUCGGUUGUAGGAUUUGAUUGAUCUUUAUGAUGUUUGCUGAACCAUUAGUUAUCCCAUGUUGUGAUUUCUUUGAGCAUAUUUUUUGCGGUGAUAUGUUGAUUAGUUAAAGCAUCAUUGAUCACCAAGUUGUUGUCUUUCCCUGUUCAUUGCGUUAUCCUGAGUUAAAGACCCCUGUUGUAAGAUGUUAAAAUGUGUAGUUUUUCUUUAAAUCUUUUAGAACUUUGGGUCGGUUUGGCUUAAAUUUCAUGUUUUCUUUUGUUGGGCUUGCUCUCGAAACUAUUGUAACAUUAGAGUUCAUUCAUCCCGAGCAUGUUAUCUUCAUAUUUUGGAGUAUUAUGAUUUGACUAGCUGCUGUAGUGUUCGAAUGUUUUCAGUCUAUUUGUAUCAUUUAAGUGUAGUUUAGUUUUGUUUUCUUUAUCACUUGCUCCGCAAACCUGUAAUCGCUAUGUUGUUUGUAGGGUUGUUUGCUGUAGAAGCCUUAAAGGCCAUAGGUUUCUCUUUAGUAAAGAAAAAUGUUUAGUUGCGUUGUUAUAUUUGGUUGUUUCCUAUUUGAAUCUUUUGAUAUGUGGUUUAUGUCAUUCUUGUCUCGAUUUUAUAGUCUGUCAUGUAAUCUUAACAUUAUCAAGUAAUUUUCGAUAUGGAUCCUUAUCUUAUGCACUGUUUGUGUCUUGAAUCUCUGGUUUCAUGGUCAAAAUUCAUGUCUUGAUUAUCGUUUAACAGUUCAGCCUGAUGUUUUGUCUCGUUCGAAGUUGAUAUAUGACGUUUUCUUUUCUGUCGUUAUUGGUGGGAUGUUGUCGUAACUGUCGAGUUUGAUAGGACUACUUCUUGAGGUUCUUGUACUCUUUCUAUAUAUUUACACCCUAAUAAUAGAUUUAGAAAGGUCCGAAAUAUAGCUCAUUUCUUUUGUAUUGAUACAUGGUUUCAAUGUGAGUUUCUUGCUUAUUUUUUCUUUGUGUCUUGUUUUCUUGUUUUAUUUUCAAUUCCAAAGAUGGAAUUUACCUGCUUUCUCUAUUAGUACUACCAGGUUCUCAUUGUGUAUGCUAUCUUAUCAAAUUGCAUCUUUAAUCCCUUAUAACUGGUUCCUCAGUUUAUGACUUGAGGAUUAGUUUCCCUGCACUUUACUUGUCAUAAAGUUUAGAUCCCAGUUUGUUUGAUUAUUCGAUCUGCUAAAAUUAUGUAUGUUGCCAGUGUAAUCCCUUAAGAGUUUUAACAGUCCUGUAGCUCGAGUUUGCUGAUCCAAGUCUAUCUUUGCAUUCAUGCAGUUGUAGUUUAGAUGUUUGUCAUGUUUCAAAAGAAUUGAAGUUUUAAAUGAGUAGAUCAUGGAAAUAUAUGUUCUCACUUCAAAAUUAUAAAUACAAACCUUCCAAAAUAAGAUUAGUUUGCUUGCGUGUAUGUGUUAACAUAGGUAAGUAAUUACAUAAACAUUUAUCAUACAUGUGAGCCGACUAGUCAAGGAGUAUAUUUUUUAAACUAAUAGUAAAAAGUUGACAUUUACUCCUGACAAAGAUGGCAAAUUUAUUUGUAGCCUUGCAACCAAAUAUAUGAACUUAUAAAUCCAUUCUUUUUUCAAUUGAAGUAUGAUACGGAGUGUGAUUUUAUCUUUGCUGAAUUAACCUGGUUCUUUUUAUUCUAUUUUGCCCACUACUAAAUAAAAAUGCAUAAUAUUUUAGCACAUUUUGUUUGAAUGUUAAUGUUUGGGCAUUUAUUCAUUACUCUAUUUUUCUUUCGCAUGUGGACACGCCCGAGUUCUACUUAUGCCCAUUGUGGGUCAUUGAGCCCCAUUUAUCCCCGAGUCAAUUCCUAGAGAAAGUCCAACCUUAAUCUCGUAGGAAAGGGAUACAAGGAGUCGAAAGAUUGAGGAAGAUAGGUCAAAGUCCACCUUUGAAGCGGCUAAGAGACUUGAAAAUCUCAUUUUCUCAUUUAUUCAUUCGUGUUGUUGUCUUUAUUUAUUUAUUCCUUUAUCUAUUUUAUUUGUCUAUUUAUUUGGGCCUCGAAGCCAAAGUUGUAAACUAAUACAGGUGGAGCGAAACUCAAGCCAAACACACGAAAAUAUAGAAUUAGGACAGGUGAUAAUGGGUCAAAAAAUCCAACUAGAUUAGGAUAGGGUCGACGAUUUGGGCUUAAAUGCCUAAAUCACUACUUCUCCCCUUCCCCUUUUCCUUUUGCUUACUUGCUUAUAUGAGAUUAUAUAAAUUUUGUUAUUUAAAUGAACAUUUUUUUUUCAAAAUUAGAAUUUAUUGAUUAAACUUGAAAAUUAAUCCAAACAGCUAAAGUCUUGAUUUUAAAUGUGAUUUGUUCUCAAAUUAUUGUAUUUGGAGGAAUAUUUGUUUGAUUUUUAUCAAAUUAAGAAACUCAGGAUUAAUUUUUCACUUAAUUCGUGUCAGAUUGCGAUUCAAUUUGGUCCAUUAAUUAAAUUUGACUUCAAUUGAAAUCAAAUUGGCCCCAAUUGUGAUACAAUAAGCCAAUCGAUAUUCAAUUGGGCUAGAAUUUAAAUGAAAUGGCCUAAGUUGUAAUUCAACAUCCCAAUUUUAAUUCCCAAAACACACUUAGACCGCCCAGGACCAAUCUAAACUACACCUAACCCGGCCCAAUACUACUUCUUAAUCUCCCUCAAACAACAACCCUCAACAAGAGCAAGAACAAAUCUCUAAAUCGCUCAACAUAGCAAUACGACCAACUCCAUAUUCCGCAAAUCUUGGGAUGAAGGUACUUAUUUGGUUAAUUUUGAUUGGCCUGAGGGAGAUUAUUCCAUUUCCCUAUUUUCUAUUGGCCCUCUUCCAAAAUCCGUUGGAGGAAAAUCCAAAAUUAGGGGAUUUGAGGACAAAUACGGAAGCUGUAGAGGGAUUUUUUUCAAAUUUCAAAUUCAUAAUAUCCUAUUUUUAGAAUUCCUAAAAACCCCUAAUUCGGUCAUUUAUAUAAGGACCCAUUGCUUCACUGUUUUGGGGAGAGAAAAAUAUAGGGGGAGAUACUAGAGUUGGAAAUUCUUUGGAAAACUUCUAGGGUUAGAAAUUUCAGCGCAAAAAGAUUUUCUGAGAGCUAGCUAGGUCGGACAAGAGAGAGUGGAAAAAUUUUCUUUCUGAGAAAGCAAAGGAUAAACCGAGAAAAGAGGGGUUGAAAGAAGAGGGAACUGUUUCUUAGCAAAAAACACUAGAGAAAGCGGAGGAUAAACCGAGAAAAGAGGGGUUGAAAGAAGAGGGAACUGUUUCUUAGCAAAAAACACUAGAGAAAGCGGUGUGCCAGUCGAGAUUUUUGUAAAAGACAUCAACUUUCCGAUGGUAGUUAAAAUUUCAUCGAAGCCUCAAGUCCUGUUUUGCUGCUCCGAAAUAGGUAAUUCUUAAUCCCCUUUAGUUUUCAUUUAUUUCUACUUCAUCUCGUCAUUCUGUAGACAUAGUGUUGUUCACGAUAAUCUUGUAUGCUGGAGUAGCUGUAAAGGCCUUGUCGGUCGUAGGAUUUGAUUGAUCGUUAUGAUGUUUGCUGAACCAUUGGUUAUCCCAUGUUGUGAUUUCUUUGAGCAUAUUUUUUGCGGUGAUAUGUUCAUUAGUUAAAGCAUCGUUGAUCACCAAGUUGUUGUCUUUCCCUUUUCAUUGCGUUAUCUUGAGUUAAAGACCCCUGUUGUAAGAUGUUAAAAUAUUUAGUUUUUCUUUAAAUCUGUUCAGAACUUUGGGUUGGUUUGGCUUAAAUUUCAUGUUUUCUUUCGUUGGGCUUGCUCUCGAAACUGUUGUAACAGUAGAGUUCAUUCAUCUCGAGCAUGUUAUCUUCAUAUUUUGAAGUAUUAUGAUUUGACUAGCUACUGUAGUGUUCGAAUUUUUUCAGUCUAUUUGUAUCAUUUAAGUGUAGUUUAGUUUCAUUUUCUUCAUCACUUACUCCGUAAACCCGUAAUCGCUAUGUUGUUUGCUGGGUUGUUUGCUGUAGAAGCCUUAAAGGACAUAGGUUUCUCUUUAGUAAAGAAGAAUGUUUAGUUGCGUUAUUACGUUAGGUUGUUUCCUGUUUGAAUCUUUUGAUUUGUGGUUUCUGUCAUUCUUGUCUCGAUUUUAUAGUCUGUCAUGUAAUCUUGACAUUAUCAAGUAAUUUUUUAUAUGGAUCCUCAUCUUAUGCACUGUUUGUGUCCUGAAUCUCUGAUUUCAUGGUCAAAAUUUAUGUCUUGAUUCUCGUUUAACAGUUUAGCUUGAUGUUUUGUGUCAUUCGAAAUUGAUAUAUGACGUUUUGUUUUUUGUAGUUAUUGUUAGUAUGCUGUCGUAACUGUCGAGUAUGAUAGGACUACUUCUUGAGGUCCUUGUAUUGUUUCUAUAGAUUUAGACCCUAAUAAUAGAUUUAGAAAGGUCCGAAAUGUAGCUCAUUUCUUUUUUAUUGAUACAUGGUUUCAAUGUGAGUUUCUUGCUUAUUUUUUCUUUGUGUCUGGUUUUCUUGUUUUAUUUUCAAUUCCAAAGAUGGAAUUUGCCUGCUUUCUCUUCUAGUACUCACAAGUUCGCAUUGUGUAUGCUAUCUUAUUAAAUUGCAUCUUUAAUCUCUUAUAAGUGAUUCCUCAGUUUAUGACUUGAGGAUUAGUUUCCCUGCACUUUACUUGUCAUAAAGUUUAGAUCCCAGUUUGUUUGAUUAUUUGAUCUGCUAAAAUUAUGUAUGUUGCCAGUGUAAUCCCUUAGGAGUUUUAACAGUCGGAUAGCUCGAGUUUGCUAAUCCAAGUCUUUCUUUGCAUUCAUGCAGUUGUAGUUUAGAUGUUUGUCAUGUUUCAAAAGAAUUGAAGUUUUAAAUGAGUAGAUCAUGGAAAUAUAUGUUUUCACUUCAAAAUUUUAAAUACAAACCUUCCAAAAUAAGAUUAGUUUGUUUGCAUGUAUGUGUUAACAUGGGUAAGUAAUUACAUAAACAUUUAUCAUACAUGUGGGCCGACUAGUCAAGGAGUAUAUUUUUUGAACAUAAUAGUAAAAGUUGACAUUUACUCCUGACAAAAGAUGGCAGAUUUAGUUGUAGCCUUGCAACCAAAUAUAUGAACUUAUAAACCCAUUCUUUUCUCAAUUGAAGUAUGAUAUGGAGUGUGAAUUUAUCUUUGUUGAAUUAACCUGGUUCUUUUUAUUCUAUUUUGCCCACUACUAAAUAAAAAUGCAUAAUAUUUUAGCAUAUUUUGUUUGAAUGUUAAUAUUUGGGCAUUUAUUCAUUACUCUAUUUUUCUUUCGCAUGUGGAAAUGCCCGAGUCCUAUUUAUGACCAUUGUAGGUCAUUAAGGCCCAUUUAACCCCAAGUCAAUUCCUAGAGAAAGUCCAACCUUAACCUCGUAGGAAAGGGAUACAAGGAUUCGAAAGAUUGAGGAAGAUGGGUCGAAGUCCACCUUUGAAGCGGCUAAGAGACUUGAAAGUCUCAUUUUCUCAAUUAUUCAUUCGUAUUGUUGUCUUUAUUUAUUUAUUCCUUUAUCUAUUUUAUUUGUCUAUUUAUUUGGGCCUCGAAGCCAAAGUUGUAAACUAAUACAGAUGGAGCGAGACUCAAGCCAAACGCACGAAAAUAUAGAAUUAGGACAGGUGAUAAUGGGUCAAAAAACCCAACUAGAUUAGGACAGGGUCGACGAUUUGGGCUUAAAUGCCUAAAUCACUACUUAUCCCCUUCCCCUUUUCCUUUUGCUUACUUGUUUUACGUGUUUCUUGCGAAUAUAGUUGAAUCCUAACUAAGUCGCUAAAAAACUGAUUUUGCAAAAACUUUUCCUUAAUCGGUUACUUCUCAAACAAAUUGAUUUUCUUAGUUAAUCAAAGAUGAUUUUCAAAUAGUCCGGAUAACCGCAAGUUAGCGGACGUUUUAGGUGCCUAACACCUUCCUAAAACGUUAAUAGGAACCGCCUAUCUAGAAUCUCUAACUUAAAAUGAUUUUUUGGAUCGUUUGAAGUAAUUCUCUAAAGGUUUCUUAAUUUCUUUUAAAAUUAAGUGGCGACUCUCUCUAAAAAAGUCAAAAUUUCUCCGCAAAACAGAAAUGGCGACUUGCUGAGGAAUUUGAAAUAGGUUCUAACCAAAUAUUUGAUUUUCGUCUUUUGAUUAACUGUUUAUGUGUUUAUAUGUUUCGAUUCUGUAAAGUUUAACUAUCGCAUCUCAUGGAAUAUUUCUGCAUUAUUUAAACUGUUUUGGGGUUUCGUGGAUGUCCCGGCCCUUAUUGUUCAAUUCCAAAAUAUGUUGGAAAUACGAACGACUUAUUAGCACGUGAGUCGUCUGAUGGUUGUUUGUAUUUUCAAAAUCAAGUUGUCCGUUUGAGAACCAGUGUUCAAACCCACUCUAGAUACCUCGGAUAAAAUGAAACCAAAACCCUAUUUUAGGCAUGAGCCUAGGACGACCCAAUACCCGAGCGGGGUAUUGGGCCCAUUAGAAAACCUGCUCUUCGUCUUUGACCCCGAGGCAAUUAUAGACGAACCAUAUUUAUGUGUUGAAGAAAAUGUAUGUCUGUCUAAUUCAAUCCAUUAUCCUUUAGGGGUCGAGAAAAAGCUUGAUUUGCUUACUUUCGUAAGAAGAAUUGAAGCAAGUUAAGCAAGAAAUUGAUCGAUUUGGGAGGUUGCAUCUAAGGCAUAUUUUGAACGUCAAUGGAUGUCACCAAUAUAAGAAAUGGACGAAGCUAAGAAGGUGAAGGCUGAUAGAAGAAGCACUCAUGAAUUAAUAUUUUCUAUCCCCUGUGUGGGAACGUGCCUUCUUUCUUGUUAUUUCCCUUUCCCUAAAGAUUGUAUCCCUCUUUUGUUAUCUUUUGUAGGCAUUUAUGCCCUUUUAGUGUCUAUAAAAGUUGGGGGAUAAUGGAUUGACCUUAAACAAGCAUAUAUUUUUCUUCAAAAAUCGUUAGG